rnacentral:ncRNA from 1 species
UUUCGGUGGCCCUGGGGGGCCUUGAAAGGGAAGCCGGUGGGAAUCCGGAACUGUGCCCGCAGCUGUGUCAUCCUUAACGGUGCCGAUAAUGCCAUUGGAGUAUAGACCUCCGAGAAGGCCGGAACCGGGAGAAGUCAGAAGACCUGCCGCAAUCA